rnacentral:rRNA from 1 species
UACGUAGGGGGCUAGCGUUGUCCGGAAUCAUUGGGCGUAAAGAGCGUGUAGGCGGCCCGGUAAGUCCGCUGUAAAAGUCAAAGGCUCAACCUUUGAAUGUCAGUGGAUACUGCCGGGCUAGAGUCCGGAAGAGGCGAGUGGAACUCCUGGUGUAGCGGUGGAAUGCGCAGAUAUCAGGAGGAACACCGAUGGCGAAGGCAGAUCUCUGGGCCGUAACUGACGCUGAGGAGCGAAAGCGUGGGGAGCGAACAGG